CUAGAGAAAGAGGGCUUUCCCCCUCCUUAAUGGU
rnacentral:tRNA from 4 species